UAGUCUUUCUAAGCUAGAUCUCCACCUAUUAAUGUCAGAUCUUCACCUGAAUGCUUAGAACCACUUGUUUCUACAAGUCUGACUGCAUCAACAUGUCUUUUGUUGGAUGAUCUUAGAAAAAAAA
rfam:Populus trichocarpa isolate Nisqually-1 chromosome 19, whole genome shotgun sequence.